rnacentral:rRNA from 1 species
UGAGGAAUUUUCCGCAAUGGACGAAAGUCUGACGGAGCGACACCGCGUGGGUGAUGAAGGUCUUCGGAUCGUAAAGCCCUGUCGGGGGGGAAGAAACCCUACCUUGUGAAUAAUUAGGUAGACUGACGGUACCCCCUAAGGAAGCACCGGCUAACUACGUGCCAGCAGCCGCGGUAAUACGUAGGGUGCAAGCGUUAUCCGGAAUCACUGGGCGUAAAGAGCUCGUAGGCGGCCUUGUAAGUCUCAUGUUAAAUACCCGGGCUUAACCCGGGAAAUGCGUGAGAUACUGCUAGGCUAGAGGAUGGGAGAGGAAAGCGGAAUUCCAGGUGUAGCGGUGAAAUGCAUAGAUAUCUGGAAGAACACCAGUGGCGAAGGCGGCUUUCUGGACCAUUUCUGACGCUGAGGAGCGAAAGCUAGGGUAGAGAACGGG